rnacentral:rRNA from 1 species
GACGAACGCUGGCGGCGUGCCUAAUACAUGCAAGUAGAACGCUGAAGAGAGGAGCUUGCUCUUCUUGGAUGAGUUGCGAACGGGUGAGUAACGCGUAGGUAACCUGCCUUGUAGCGGGGGAUAACUAUUGGAAACGAUAGCUAAUACCGCAUAACAAUGGAUGACACAUGUCAUUUAUUUGAAAGGGGCAAUUGCUCCACUACAAGAUGGACCUGCGUUGUAUUAGCUAGUAGGUGAGGUAAUGGCUCACCUAGGCGACGAUACAUAGCCGACCUGAGAGGGUGAUCGGCCACACUGGGACUGAGACACGGCCCAGACUCCUACGGGAGGCAGCAGUAGGGAAUCUUCGGCAAUGGGGGCAACCCUGACCGAGCAACGCCGCGUGAGUGAAGAAGGUUUUCGGAUCGUAAAGCUCUGUUGUAAGUCAAGAACGGGUGUGGGAGUGGAAAGUUCACACUGUGACGGUAGCUUACCAGAAAGGGACGGCUAACUACGU